AACGAACGCUGGCGGCAUGCCUAACACAUGCAAGUCGAACGAGACCUUCGGGUCUAGUGGCGCACGGGUGCGUAACGCGUGGGAACCUGCCCUUAGGUUCGGAAUAACUCCCCGAAAGGGGUGCUAAUACCGGAUAAUGUCUUCGGACCAAAGAUUUAUCGCCUUUGGAUGGGCCCGCGUUGGAUUAGCUAGUUGGUAGGGUAAAAGCCUACCAAGGCGACGAUCCAUAGCUGGUCUGAGAGGAUGAUCAGCCACACUGGGACUGAGACACGGCCCAGACGCAGAGGUGAGGCAGCUGGGGUGAAUAUUCAACAAUGGGCGAAACCUUGACAGAGCAAUGCCGCGUGAGUGAGGAAGGCCGUGGGGUUGAAACUUUCUUCUACCCGUAGUGAUAAUAACAGUACCGGGAAAACAAGCUCCGGCUCCCGCCGUGCCAGCAGCCGCGGUAAUAGAGACAGCGCACCCCGUAUGAAC
rnacentral:rRNA from 1 species